rnacentral:ncRNA from 2 species
AAUCUUCAAUAGGAUUAAGCUUAUAUAAUGUCAUAAUAAGGAUGACAAGUUUCUACCCAAGACCGUAAAUCUUGGACUAUAAGUAAAAAAGCUAUUAUA